GCUUAACACAUGCAAGUCGAACGGAAAGGCCCUUUCGGGGGUACUCGAGUGGCGAACGGGUGAGUAACACGUGGGUGAUCUGCCCUGCACUUCGGGAUAAGCUUGGGAAACUGGGUCUAAUACCGGAUAGGACUACGGCCUGCAUGGGUUGUGGUGGAAAGCUUUUGCGGUGUGGGAUGGGCCCGCGGCCUAUCAGCUUGUUGGUGGGGUGAUGGCCUACCAAGGCGACGACGGGUAGCCGGCCUGAGAGGGUGUCCGGCCACACUGGGACUGAGAUACGGCCCAGACUCCUACGGGAGGCAGCAGUGGGGAAUAUUGCACAAUGGGCGCAAGCCUGAUGCAGCGAUGCCGCGUGGGGGAUGACGGCCUUCGGGUUGUAAACCUCUUUCACCAUCGGCGAAGCCGGGAGCUUUUGUUUUCGGUGACGGUAGGUGGAGAAGAAGCACCGGCCAACUACGUGCCAGCAGCCGCGGUAAU
rnacentral:rRNA from 1 species